UGUAGAAUUGGAGUGAGUGCCACUAAGACCCACACCUCAAUUCCCUUCCUCUGUUCCCUCUUCUAUCGGUCUCAUUCUGCUCUCUCAGUCGAACUCCCUCACUUCUCUCUCAUUUUUUUCCCCUCAUCCUUAUCUCUCUCUAGUCACUUUUCCCCGAGCCAUACAACUAUGAACCACCACCUUCUCCGAUGACUUUAAAUACCAAACCACCACCAUCCUCGUCUCCAAACACGAGACUAGUGCCCAAACCUUGACUCGAACCUCAAAUCGGAGAACCACGGGUCUCGAACCCGAGAGAAUUUCGGUGAGUUCAUCGCCUUCCUGACCGAGGUAAGGUUUUCCGAGCUUUUCCUGCCCAAAUCUAGUUGAAGACGAUGAUAUUGACACCAUAAACAAAUUCCUCACAGUCAUAGGGACUAGAUUCAAGCUUUGUUGGUCGAAUCUGUCAUGGAUUCAUAGAGACCCAAACUGGCCGUGACUUUCAAGCCAUUUUCCAGCCACUUCCGACCAUCCUUUGGCCUCAAUUUAGGUAAAAUUGAACUCCUCUUAGUCCCAGCUUCAUUUUGAUAUAUUGUGUGUUACAAAUGGUUGAUAUUUGAAGUUGAUGUGCUUCUGUUUCGAAUCCGACUAAUAGGUAUUGAUUCAUAACCUUUGAAUUUGGGUUUCAUUUCGUAACCUUGGCAGAAAAAGGUCUAGAUUCCACAUAGACCAUCUGAUUAAUUUGAUUAUGAAAUAGCAAAGAUGGGUUCUAUUCUUAUGUGUUAAGAUUAUCUUGUUUUACAUUACUAUAAUCAUUAAAUUAUUGAGUUUACUGAUGUUGUUGUGUAAGAGGAUAGGGGAAAACUAUUUGAAGGAAUACUUAAACAGAAAUGGAAGAUCUUCUCCUGAUGAUCAUCUUCAUUAAUUCGUUUAUGGAGCAGCAGAGAUUCGAUGAGGUGCAAGGCUUGCUGGGGAAGAUGCAUCUGUCCAAAAAUGCACAAUUACAUUUUAAGUGCCAACAUGGUUGGAAAAGGUAGUCUGACAACUUUGUCAGAACAGAGGAACAAAACACCCUUUAUUUGUGCUGAUAUCAUGAGCACAGAACUCAGAAUUGUGCUCUUUGAUCAAAGUGUGGGCGGCACUAGGGACCUGAACUUUCAAAAUGCUGCAAUGGCGGAAGCUGCUGCAAUCUGUGCAACUCUGGUGACGUGCAUAAAGGAAGGCUUAGAUUGUAUUGAGAUUGAAUCUAAUGCGAAGACUAUCAUCCAAAUGGUAAACAAAUAAGUUGGAGGUGACACAACAAUAGAGUUUUUUCUUCAUGAUAUUUUGUAUCUUGCUCAAACUAUGAGGUCUGUGGAGUUGUUGUUUGUCCCUCAUAAUGGUAAUUGAGCAGCAUACUUCGUGGCUU